UGGAUUCGACAACAUUGCCGAACAUUUCAUUUGGAAUUGCAAGACAUCGUAUUCGAAUUUCUUUUUUCAAAUCAUCAAUUGUCACUGGUUUUGCAGCGUAAACCUUAUCCUUGAGAUGUCCCCAUAAGAAAAAAAAAAAAUCCAUUGGCGUGAGGUCUGGGGAACAUGCAGAAAAUUUAACGCUACCUCUCCUCCCAAUCCAUUUGUUUGGAUUUGUUGCAUCGAGGUAAGCCCGUACAUCAAAAAAAACAAUACGUUCAGA